rnacentral:rRNA from 1 species
UACAGAGGGUGCAAGCGUUAAUCGGAAUUACUGGGCGUAAAGCGUGCGUAGACGGUUAUUUAAGUCAGGUGUGAAAGCCCCGGGCUCAACCUGGGAAUUGCAUUUGAGACUGAAUAGCUAGGGUGCGGAAGAGGGAAGCGGAAUUCCCGGUGUAGCAGUGAAAUGCGUAGAGAUCGGGAGGAACAUCAGUUGCGAAGGCGGCUCUCUGGACCAGCACUGACACUGAGGCACGAAAGCGUGGGGAGCAAACAGG